AGUGAACGCUGGCGGUAGGCCUAACACAUGCAAGUCGAACGGCAGCACAGUAAGAGCUUGCUCUUACGGGUGGCGAGUGGCGGACGGGUGAGGAAUACAUCGGAAUCUACUUUUUCGUGGGGGAUAACGUAGGGAAACUUACGCUAAUACCGCAUACGACCUACGGGUGAAAGCAGGGGAUCUUCGGACCUUUCGCGAUUGAAUGAGCCGAUGUCGGAUUAGCUAGUUGGCGGGGUAAAGGCCCACCAAGGCGACGAUCCGUAGCUGGUCUGAGAGGAUGAGAGGCAAAACUGGAAAUGAGGAACGGGCCGGAAGCAUACGGGCGGAACAAGUCGGGAAGAUUGGACAAGGGGGGGAGGUCUGAGACAGAAAUAGCGCGUGCGUGAAGAAGGACGUCGGGGUGCAAAGUCCUUUGGUUGGGAAAGAAAAGCAGCAGGUUAAUACCCCGAGGUUAUGACGGGAAAAAAAGAAUAAGCAACGGCUAGUUUCGGG
rnacentral:rRNA from 1 species